rnacentral:rRNA from 1 species
GAUGAACGCUGGCGGCGUGCCUAACACAUGCAAGUCGAGCGAACGCACGAGAAGCUCUCUUCUCUGCUGUUAGCGGCGGGCGGGUGAGUAACACGUGCAUAACCUACCUAUAUGACUGGGAUAACUUCGGGAAACCGUAUCUACUACCGGCUCAUAUUUUCAACCGCAUGGUUCAAAAGAGCUAGACGGUCUUGCUGUCACUUAUAGAUGGUUCCUCGCUGCAUUAGCUAGUUGGUAAGGUAACGGCCUACCAAGGCGACGAUGCUUAGCCGACCUGAGAGGGUGAUCAGCCACACUGGAACUGAGACACGGUCCAGACUCCUACGGGAGGCAGCAGUGGGGAAUAUUCGGCAAUGGGCGAAAGCCUGACGGAGCAACGCCGCGUGGGUGAUGAAGGUCUUCGGAUCGUAAAGCUCUGUUAUUAGGGAAGAACGGAAGUGUGAUAAAAUCUGCACGUCUUGACGGUACCAAAAGAGAAAGCAACGGCUAACUACGUG